rnacentral:rRNA from 1 species
GCGAGUCUUUGUAGUAAUACAAGGCAKACGGCUCAGUAACACGUAGUCAACCUACCCUAUGGACRAGAAUAAUCUCGGGAAACUGAGCAUAAUUCUUGAUAGAUCAUAAUGCCUGGAAUGGUUUAUGGUUAAAAUGAUUCGUCGCCAUAGGAUGGGACUGCGGCCUAUCAGCUUGUUGGUGAGGUAAUGGCCCACCAAGGCGAUUACAGGUACGGGCUCUGAGAGGAGAAGCCCGGAGAUGGGUACUGAGACACGGACCCAGGCCCUAUGGGGCGCAGCAGGCGAGAAAACUUUGCAAUGUGCGAAAGCACGACAAGGUUAAUCCGAGUGAUUUCUGCUAAAGAAAUCUUUUGCCAGUCRUAAAACCACUGGUGAAUAAGGGGUGGGCAAGUUCUGGUGUCAGCCGCCGCGGUAAAACCAGCACCUCAAGUGGUCAGGAUGAUUAUUGGGCCUAAAGCAUCCGUAGCCGGCUUUGUAAGUUUUCGGUUAAAUCCAUGUGCUUAACGCAUGGGCUGCCGA